UACGAAGGGUGCAAACGUUGCUCGGAAUUAUUGGGCGUAAAGCGCACGUAGGCGGCUUGGUAUGUCGGGUGUGAAAUCCCCGGGCUCAACCUGGGAACUGCAUCCGAAACUGCCUUGCUAGAGUAUGGGAGAGGGAAGUGGAAUUUCCGGUGUAGCGGUGAAAUGCGUAGAUAUCGGAAGGAACAUCAGUGGCGAAGGCGACUUCCUGGACCAAUACUGACGCUCAGGUGCGAAAGCGUGGGGAGCGAACAGG
rnacentral:rRNA from 1 species